rnacentral:rRNA from 1 species
ACGAACGCUGGCGGCGUGCUUAACACAUGCAAGUCGAGCGGUAAGGCCCUUUCGGGGGUACGACGAGCGGCGAACGGGUGAGUAACACGUGGGUGACCUGCCCUCAGCUCUGGGAUAAGCCUGGGAAACCGGGUCUAAUACCGGAUAUGACUCCAUGACGCAUGUUGUGGGGUGGAAAGCCUUGUGCGGCUGAGGAUGGGCCCGCGGCCUAUCAGCUUGUUGGUGGGGUGANGGGCCUACCAAGGCGACGACGGGUAGCCGGCCUGAGAGGGCGACCGGCCACACUGGGACUGAGACACGGCCCAGACUCCUACGGGAGGCAGCAGUGGGGAAUCUUGCGCAAUGGGCGAAAGCCUGACGCAGCGACGCCGCGUGAGGGGUGACGGCCUGG